GACUUAAGCAUAUCAAUAAGCGGAGGAAAAGAAACCAACAGGGAUUGCCUCAGUAACGGCGAGUGAAGCGGCAACAGCUCAAAUUUGAAAUCUGACCCCUUCGGGGCCCGAGUUGUAAUUUGUAGAGGAUGCUUCGGGUGCGGCGCCGGUCUAAGUUCCUUGGAACAGGACGUCAUAGAGGGUGAGAAUCCCGUAUGCGACCGGCGGUCAACCCCAUGUGAAGCCCCUUCGACGAGUCGAGUUGUUUGGGAAUGCAGCUCAAAAUGGGUGGUAAAUUUCAUCUAAAGCUAAAUACCGGCCAGAGACCGAUAGCGCACAAGUAGAGUGAUCGAAAGAUGAAAAGCACUUUGGAAAGAGAGUCAAACAGUACGUGAAAUUGUUGAAAGGGAAGCGCUUGCAACCAGACCUGCCCCCGGGCGAUCAGCCGUUAUUUUUAGCGGUGCACUCGUCCGCGAUCAGGCCAGCAUCGGUUCGGGCGGCCGGAUAAAGGCCUCGGGAAUGUAGCUCCCCCCGGGGAGUCUUAUAGCCCGAGGUGCAAUGCGGCCAGCCCGGACCGAGGACCGCGCUUCGGCUAGGAUGCUGGCGUAAUGGUUGUAAGCGACCCGUCUUGAAACACGGACC
rnacentral:rRNA from 2 species